GCGCGAUUAGUUUAGUGGUUAGAAUCCUCGCUUCCCAUUCUCAUCGUGGAAAUGCGAGGGACUCGAGUUCGAAUCUCGGAUCGCGCA
rnacentral:tRNA from 1 species